UACGGGGGGCAAGCGUUGUUCGGAAUUACUGGGCGUAAAGGGCUCGUAGGCGGCCAACUAAGUCGGAUGUGAAAUCCCCAGGCUCAACUUGGGAACUGCAUCCGAUACUGGAUGGCUUGAAUUCGGGAGAGGGAUGCAGAAUUCCAGGUGUAGCGGUGAAAUGCGUAGAUAUCGAGAGGAACACCUGCGGCGAAGGCGGGUUGCUGGGCUGACACUGACGCUGAGGCGCGAAAGCCAGGGAGCGAACGGG
rnacentral:rRNA from 1 species